rnacentral:lncRNA from 1 species
GACUAUUGCCAUGGGAUUUCUCAGGAUUAAGAAUUCUCACUCUUUUUUGGCAUGCACUAGAAGGUAUUCUGUAAAAUCAGAAUUUAAUCUAUCUGAGGUGGUAUAUGGAUUUAGAUAUGUGUGAUGAUGAUAAUUUGAAUAAUGAAAAUCUUCAUUUGAUGCUGUCUUUAGGUACAUUUGUCCCAUCUGAAGAGGUUUCAUGCCAAGCCAAACCUCAAAGAUUCCCCUUCCACUGAGAAUGCAUUCGCUUUAAACAAUAACAUGCAUAUAGCUUAAAAAAGAACAAUGGUCUCUACUUGAUAUGAUAAAUUUCGCUGAAAGUCUGAUCUAAAACUGUGAAGACAUCAUCAAGUAUCAACUGAUGAUCCCUCGGAACAACACGGUACCCUCCAUCACAAGCCUCAAAAAGUUGUAAUAUGCAGCCUUUGAGAUGCUGGAAUAUCUGAACUUACAUUUUAUUUCCAGUUUAGAUUUCAU